UACGAAGGGGGCUAGCGUUGUUCGGAAUCACUGGGCGUAAAGCGCUCGUAGGCGGAUCUUUAAGUCAGGGGUGAAAUCCCGAGGCUCAACCUCGGAACUGCCUUUGAUACUGGGGAUCUCGAGUCCGGGAGAGGUGAGUGGAACUGCGAGUGUAGAGGUGAAAUUCGUAGAUAUUCGCAAGAACACCAGUGGCGAAGGGCGGACUCACUGGCCCGGUACUGGACGCUGAGGAGCGAAAGCGUGGGGAGCGGAACAG
rnacentral:rRNA from 1 species